UACGUAGGGGGCAAGCGUUGUCCGGAUUUAUUGGGCGUAAAGAGCUCGUAGGCGGCUUGGUAAGUCGGAUGUGAAAUCUCCAGGCUCAACCUGGAGGGGUCAUUCGAUACUGCCAUGACUAGAGUUCGGUAGGGGAGUGUGGAAUUCCUGGUGGAGCGGUGAAAUGCGCAGAGAUCAGGAGGAACACCCGUAGCGAAGGCGGCACUCUGGGCCGAUACUGACGCUGAGGAGCGAAAGCGUGGGGAGCGAACAGG
rnacentral:rRNA from 1 species